CAGGCCCCAGAACAUCAAGGCCUGAGCUCGCUGAGGAUGGCGGGAACUGAAGAGCAGCCGUCCGCAGUCCUCCCUUCUACCCGUGCCCCCGCGACCCGGCCCCGUCUCAAGCCCCCUGCACGAUAGAUGCCUGCAGUGACAGGCCUGAGUCCUAGCACGUGAGAGACUGAAGCAGAAGGGCCAAGAGAUUGAGGCCAUGGCUAUGGUGAUAGUUAGAGCAUAAAGGAACUUGCUUUCGUGACCCAGGACCACACGGCGGAAGGAGAGCUGAUUCCACCCAGCGAGUUAUCCUGUGACUUGUCAGCAUACACAUACACGAAAUAAAUCCCUCAAGAGGAAGAAUUACUGAGAAGAAAGCGACCAAUAAGCUGGCAAAGGAGGAGGAAGUCCCUGCUUCUCUAACAGCACAGCCACAAAACUUUUAAGCCGAUUCGUUUCAUUGCAUGCUCAGUCCAUAAAAAGAAUAAAACAUAAAAACACAUUCUGCAUGAUCAAUUAGGCGCUUUUCUUGGAUUAUAGUAUUUGAAUCAUCCAGCCUCCAAAGUAUCGCUUUAAAGUCUCCACUCAUACUGCCAAACAAUAGUUUUCACAUUUUCUUAAUCUGAUCAGCAGAUUAUGAAGUUAAGUGAGGCAAGAAAUCCCUUGAUCAAUAAAUGGAGAUGGAGUCAUAAUGAAAGCACAAUUUAAAAAAAAUCUCUCCUUAACUGGGAAGUAGUUACCUAAAUCCUCUAUAAGCAUCAAGGCCUUUCUUUGUUUAAGAUGCACAGGAAAAAGAUACAGAUUUGGGUUGCAGAGUGAGAUGCAGUCAACAUACUAACAAAUGGCUAGAGCCCGAGACGCUCCUUUCCUGCAAAGAGAACUGGACCUCUGUCUUGUGUUGCACCUCAUUAUACACGAUGCACAGACAUAUGUGGUCCAUCUAGGGCUUCCCCCACCCCGCUGAGGAUGGAAUUCAGGGUCUCGUGUAUAUGAGGCAAGCAUUCUGCCACUAAGCUAUUCCCAGUUUGCUGAGAGCUUUUUGGUUUUUUUUCCUCCUUUCCUUUCUAGUGGACUGAAAAUAGAUAGUCAGGGAACUAUAAACUGUAAAGACUGUCAAAAGAGUUCUCAUGUGUGCUCUCAUGGGGUGACAAGGACAGGGGAGGGAAACUGAGGUGUGGAUGUGGGGUGCGGUGUUGAACAAUGCCAGCAAGACUGGGUGAGAGCUAGUACAGCUUUCCAGCCGGUAUUGAAAAAGGAAUUUAGAGAAAGGAAAGCUGAACUGUAAAUGGCUAGUUUGGUAAGAGCCUGGCGCAGCUUUUUAAAUUCUAUCUAUUUAUUUGGUGUUUUGAGAUGGGGUUUCAGCUGCCCUCAAACUUGAUCUGUAGACCAGGCUGGUCGUGAACUCACAUAUUCAUCUGCCUCUGUCUCCUGAGUGCUACGAUUAAAGGCUAAAUAAUUUAUUUGUGUGUGUGUGUGUGAGUAUUCUGUCUACAUGUAUGUCUGUGCACCACUUGCAUGUCUGAAGCUCACAGAGUCCAGAAGGCAGUAUUGAAUAACCCUGGAACUGGAGUUACAGACAGUUGUGAGCCACCAUGUGGGUGCUGGGAAUUGAACUCUGGGUCCUCUGGAAGAGUAGCCAGUGUUCUGAACCACUGACCAGUGUCGCUAGCCCUGCCCACCCAGUGGCUUCUGUAAAUAAAGUAUUUGUGAGCCACAACUCAGCCCACUCUAGCAACAACUCAGUAAGUCAGCAGGCUCUGAUACUGAUGAGAAGGAAUGGGAGCGAUAGCCAGGGAAAACCUUUCUGUGAACAACAGAGCAAGUUUGCUAGGAAAGGCAAGCUCUGGGUGGAGUCCUGGGAAAAGUGACUAUCUAAGGGAUGCCAGAGAUCCCAGGCAGUCACAAAGAUUUGCUAAACAUUGUGGGUAAAUGAUCUCACAGAACCUCAGCACUCAGGGAUUAAGAGACUAUCAGUGCAUAACAAAGAUUCGCUAAAACGCUGGAAACCUGUAAGGCCACUUCUGGCUUUACAAGAAUGACAUGGUUUUGUGUUGAGAUUACUCUACUUGGAAAUCAACUCCAAGGCUCUCAGAGGGUGCUGUAGGGCAGGCCAAGAGACAAAGACCCAUGUGCUAGGGAGAGGGUGGGGGUAGGAGUGUGUGGAGGGUGGUCUGAGAGGUGGGAUAAGGAACAGACUCAGAGAAACAGGAAACAAUUAACUUGAAAGCCUGGCAGAGAAAGACAGACCACAUGAGGGUCUCAAGGAGGGAAAGUGGGCUCACUGUGGCUCAACACACACACAUCACCACUACAAACAGAUGUUGAACUCAACAGGGUUGAGCAAAUGCUUGGGAAAAGCACCAGUUUAGCUUCAGGGAAUGCCUGCAAGGUGCCAAAUUUAAUACAAUGCCACGCAGUCCAAAUGUCUUGGGAGUAAAUAGUAAAACUGCAAAAACCGGAGCUAAGGACACCUACUUUACGUUGUUUCCCCAUGGGAAUGUUUCAAGACAGUUUCCCACACAGACACACUGGAAAUAUAUUUGUGAUUUUUGCCAUGUCUAACAACUUCCUAUACUAUUGCCUAGUUACUUUAUUCUUUGUCAUCUUUGCUGGGGAUCAAAUCCAGAGCCCUGUCCAUGCCAGACAAGUGUUCUACCAUCCAGCUACAUCCCUGACCCUUGCUGUUUUGAGACAUAGCCUAACUGUAUAGCUCAGGCUAGCCUUGAACUCACUAUGCAGCUGGCUCAUCUUCACAAUCCUCUUGCCUCUAUCUCCUAAGAACAGGGAUUAUAAGUGUGAGCCACCACAGCUAUUCUGACAAACAUGUAACAUUCAUGGUACACACAGACACACAUGCACACACGUUGUUCGACGGGCUGUUUUUCUUUGUGACAUAUACCUAUGUUGGUGUGUAUGCAUACAGGAGGAGGAAGAAGAAUGAGGCCCAAGUGUCUUCAGUGGCAGUAUCUACCUAUCUAAACACGUUUUGGGAAUUAUUGGUUUUAGAGACUGCAGCCUACAGCCAGGCAUUUCUCACACAUGGUUAGUGAGCCAUUAGAAGGUUUUGAAACUGAGUAGUGAGUCACAGAUAUACUAAGCAGUAAUGACUGACCAGGAUGGGGGCCUAGAGAAUGCUGGCACAGUGCACAUGGUGUAGGAGCUCAGAUCUGAUUUCCAUUACAGAUUAUCUUUCCUGAAGACUUGAAUGUUAACUUGCUGACAGGGAGAAAGAAAUCCCUGUACAUUUCACUGAGUAUAGUAGGAAACACUACUAUUCUAUUAGUGUUUCUCUUUCUUCCUGUUCUGUAACAGUUUCUAGAUAGAGAGAAGGCUGGUGUAUCUCUCUCUUCAGUAACCUAGUAACUGCAAAAAGGGUGAGGAGGGAUAAUGACAGACAAAAAGAGAUCUUAUAUUCCCUGUUCAAACUGCCCUUCAUGGAGAACUUGAAUUUCCGGAGCUGUAGAGAGCCUUUUAGAGUAAUUAUUUGAUGUCAGACCUUUGCAAUGCUCUUACCAGAAUUCAAAGUACUGACUGUGAUGUGUGUGUUUAGAAUUAUUAAUUUUUAUUUUGUGUGUACCCACAGGUAUUGUGCCUGUAUAUAUGUCUAUACUAUAAGAAUGCAGAGGAUAGAAGAGGGUACCGGAUCCUCUGGAACUGGAAUUACAGAUAGUUGUGAACCACAAUGUGGGUGCUAGCAACUGAGCCCAGGUUUUUGGAAGAGCAGCCAGUGCUUUUAACUAUUGAACUAUCCAGCCUCAAACAUGAUGCAUCUUAUGGUGUUCUUUAUGGUGCUAGGGACUGAACACACACACACACACAGACACACAGACACACACACACACACACACACACACAGACACACAGACACACACACACACACACACUCAUGCUACUACUGAGUUACACCCCUAGCCUUUCUUUAACAAGUUCUUUACAUUCAAGCUUUAAGCUUCAAAAACACCAUAAUAGUGUGCCUUUUCUUCUGUUGUCUAGAUUUUUGAAACACUAUCUUGCUUAUGUAGCCUGGCUAACCUGGAAUGUACUUUGUAGACCAGACUGUCCUGAAACUCAUGAACACACAGGUUAGUAUUAAAAGCCUGUAUUUCAAUAUCAAGCCCCAAAUAAUUUUUUAAAAGCCUGGAACAAUAUUUAAAAUUCAAGGGGUCCUAUACAAACUUCUAGAUUUUGUUUUGUUUUGAGUAGCACAAUCAAGAUUCUCACAUUUAACCCUACAGCAACUAGAUAGAUAAUGAAGAAAUAUUAAUAGCCAGGGAGCUGCCUUGAAUCUCAGCAUUGGGGAGGCAGAGGCAGGUGGGGCUUUGUGAGUUUGAGACCAGCCUGGUCUACAUGGAGAGUUCUAGGACAGCCAGAGCUAUAUAGUAAAAACCUGUCUCAAUAAAUAAAUAAAUGAAAUAAAAAAAUCAGAUCCAUUUUCCUGCCACUUAUAGAGACAUGGAGUCAUAGAGUAUUUCUUAACACUAAUGAUGUCCACAACAAGCACUCAUUGGCCAUGUUGUGGAUCAAAAUCUGUUCUGAGUAGUUUCUGGAUUCUGACCCAUUUAAUCACCGCAUUCCUACAAAUUAGAAAAGUGUCCUUGUCCGGUGUCCGUAUCAGCGUGAUGAUAAAUGGUACCUGGUACUCAGCCUCAGUGUGGAAGGAGAGAGUCUGAGAGAGUUGGAGGGCACAUUCCUGACUAAGUGAGGGCAUUGUCUCCAGACGAUGAUUUCCUCAUGGGAAUGUGGGUCUGCUGCCUCUCCUCCUUGGCACCAAACGCUGGGAUACUGUGAAUGAGACAUGGCAGGCCUGCUGUCAAAGCAGGCAGUUAGUAGUGGUUUCUCCAGCACUUGUUUAUUUCUAUAGCACUGUGAGAUCAUGUUCACCACCCCCCCACCAUAUACCCUACUGUUUAGCCCAGUCCAACCAAACGUCUCUUGGAGCCAAAAGAAGUAGUAAUGAGUGCUUCAGUGCCUAGAGGAAUGCUCCAGAGAGUGGGCAAGAUAUUGAAUAAUUUUUCUUUAAAACAAGGUCUGGUCAGGCUGUGGUAGCACAUGCCUUUAAUUCCAGCACUCAGGAGACAGAAGCAGGUGGAGCUCUAUGAGUUCGA